CGCGAUGGUCUCGGUUGGGCAGAUCAAGUCAGCAGCAUCCUCAGCAAACAAGUACUGACCCGUACCCAACUAUCGCGUCCAAACUAAAGGUCAGAGAGGCUGCACACAGCGAACACGGACAGCUAAUGCGGAACAAUAGAGCAUGGUCACGACGGUGAAGGCGAGGAAGAGCUUUUACGCGCGCGG